AGGUAAGCUACUAAGAGCGAAUGGUGGAUGCCUUGACUGGUAAAGGCGAUGAAGGACGUACUAGACUGCGAUAAGCUACGGGGAGCUGUCAAGAAGCUUUGAUCCGUAGAUUUCCGAAUGGGGCAACCCAAUGUAUAGAGAUAUACAUUACCUAUAUAGGAGCGAACGAGGGGAAUUGAAACAUCUUAGUACCCUCAGGAAAAGAAAUCAAUAGAGAUUGCGUCAGUAGCGGCGAGCGAAAGCGCAAGAGGGCAAACCCAGUGCUUGCACUGGGGGUUGUAGGACUGCAAUGUGCAAGAGGUGAGUUUAGCAGAACAUUCUGGAAAGUAUAGCCAUAGAGGGUGAUAGUCCCGUAUGCGAAAAACAAACCUUAGCUAGCAGUAUCCUGAGUAGGGCGGGACACGAGAAAUCCUGUCUGAAGCUGGGUCGACCACGAUCCAACCCUAAAUACUAAUACCAGAUCGAUAGUGCACAAGUACCGUGAGGGAAAGGUGAAAAGAACUGAGGUGAUCAGAGUGAAAUAGAACCUGAAACCAUUUGCUUACAAUCAUUCAGAGCCCUAUGUAGCAAUACAGGGUGAUGGACUGCCUUUUGCAUAAUGAGCCUGCGAGUUGUGGUGUCUGGCAAGGUUAAGCAAACGCGAAGCCGUAGCGAAAGCGAGUCUGAAUAGGGCGCUUAGUCAGAUGCUGCAGACCCGAAACGAAGUGAUCUAUCCAUGAGCAAGUUGAAGCUAGUGUAAGAACUAGUGGAGGACUGAACCCAUAGGCGUUGAAAAGCCCCGGGAUGACUUGUGGAUAGGGGUGAAAGGCCAAUCAAACUUCGUGAUAGCUGGUUCUCUCCGAAAUAUAUUUAGGUAUAGCGUUGUGUCGUAAUAUAAGGGGGUAGAGCACUGAAUGGGCUAGGGCAUACACCAAUGUACCAAACCCUAUCAAACUCCGAAUACCUUAUAUGUAAUCACAGCAGUCAGGCGGCGAGUGAUAAAAUCCGUCGUCAAGAGGGAAACAACCCAGACUACCAGCUAAGGUCCCUAAAUCUUACUUAAGUGGAAAACGAUGUGAAGUUACUUAAACAACCAGGAGGUUGGCUUAGAAGCAGCCAUCCUUUAAAGAAAGCGUAAUAGCUCACUGGUCUAGUGAUUUUGCGCGGAAAAUAUAACGGGGCUAAAGUAAGUACCGAAGCUGUAGACUUGCACACAACUUAGAUUAUUUAAGUUUAGAAUAUGAGAAACUAAGUUAUAUGUUUAGUUAUAUUUUUACUGAUUUUUAUAGAGUAAAGAUAGAAAUAAAACUUAGUAAAAUCAGUAAAAAUAUUCUUAGACUAAAGUUAAGUAGUUUAAGUUGUGUGCAAGUGGUAGGAGAGCGUUCUAUUUGCGUCGAAGGUAUACCGGUAAGGAGUGCUGGAGCGAAUAGAAGUGAGCAUGCAGGCAUGAGUAGCGAUAAUUAAUGUGAGAAUCAUUAACGCCGUAAACCCAAGGUUUCCUACGCGAUGCUCGUCAUCGUAGGGUUAGUCGGGUCCUAAGUCGAGUCCGAAAGGGGUAGACGAUGGCAAAUUGGUUAAUAUUCCAAUACCAACAUUAGUGUGCGAUGGAAGGACGCUUAGGGCUAAGGGGGCUAGCGGAUGGAAGUGCUAGUCUAAGGUCGUAGGAGGUUGUACAGGCAAAUCCGUAUAACAAUACUCCGAGAACUGAAAGGCUUUUUGAAGUCUUCGGAUGGAUAGAAGAACCCCUGAUGCCGUCGAGCCAAGAAAAGUUUCUAAGUUUAGCUAAUGUUGCCCGUACCGUAAACCGACACAGGUGGGUGGGAUGAGUAUUCUAAGGCGCGUGGAAGAACUCUCUUUAAGGAACUCUGCAAAAUAGCACCGUAUCUUCGGUAUAAGGUGUGGUUCGCUUCGUAUUAGGAUUUACUCCGAAAGCGAAGAAACUUACAACAAAGAGUCCCUCCCGACUGUUUACCAAAAACACAGCACUCUGCUAACUCGUAAGAGGAUGUAUAGGGUGUGACGCCUGCCCGGUGCUCGAAGGUUAAUUGAUGGGGUUAGCAUUAGCGAAGCUCUUGAUCGAAGCCCGAGUAAACGGCGGCCGUAACUAUAACGGUCCUAAGGUAGCGAAAUUCCUUGUCGGUUAAAUACCGACCUGCAUGAAUGGCGUAACGAGAUGGGAGCUGUCUCAAAGAGGGAUCCAGUGAAAUUGUAGUGGAGGUGAAAAUUCCUCCUACCCGCGGCAAGACGGAAAGACCCCGUGGACCUUUACUACAGCUUGACACUGCUAUUUGGAUAAGAAUGUGCAGGAUAGGUGGGAGGCUUUGAGUAUAUGACGCCAGUUGUAUAUGAGCCAUUGUUGAGAUACCACUCUUUCUUAUUUGGGUAGCUAACCAGCUUGAGUUAUCCUCAAGUGGGACAAUGUCUGGUGGGUAGUUUGACUGGGGCGGUCGCCUCCCAAAUAAUAACGGAGGCUUACAAAGGUUGGCUCAGAACGGUUGGAAAUCGUUCGUAGAGUAUAAAGGUAUAAGCCAGCUUAACUGCAAGACAUACAAGUCAAGCAGAGACGAAAGUCGGUCUUAGUGAUCCGGUGGUUCUGUGUGGAAGGGCCAUCGCUCAAAGGAUAAAAGGUACCCCGGGGAUAACAGGCUGAUCUCCCCCAAGAGCUCACAUCGACGGGGAGGUUUGGCACCUCGAUGUCGGCUCAUCGCAUCCUGGGGAUGGAGCAGGUCCCAAGGGUAUGGCUGUUCGCCAUUUAAAGCGGUACGCGAGCUGGGUUCAGAACGUCGUGAGACAGUUCGGUCCCUAUCUGCCGUGGGCGUAAGAAGAUUGAAGAGAUUUGACCCUAGUACGAGAGGACCGGGUUGAACAAACCACUGGUGUAGCUGUUGUUCUGCCAAGAGCAUCGCAGCGUAGCUAAGUUUGGAAAGGAUAAACGCUGAAAGCAUCUAAGCGUGAAGCCAACUCUAAGAUGAAUCUUCUCUAAGCUCUCUAGAAGACUACUAGUUUGAUAGGCUGGGUGUGUAAUGGAUGAAAGUCCUUUAGCUGACCAGUACUAAUAGAGCGUUUGGCUUAUCUUU
rnacentral:rRNA from 1 species